rnacentral:tmRNA from 1 species
AGCUACUUUAUUUGACAGCGUCUGUUGAUAAUUUUAUUUGUCAAAAGUGUUCCAAUAAGGGUGAUGAAUAAAGACAGGGUCAAAGCUCCAGCUUUCCACCCAGAGCUCCAUAACAAGCUUUUGGAAAGGCUUAAGGCUGCCUAUGGAAAGGACAGUAUUGGCAAAGACCCAGAAGAAGCCCCAGUUCCCCUGUUGUUGCAUACCUGUGCAGUUAGAUUCUAUGAAGAGUACAAAGAAUUGACACGUGAUAACACAUUGCCUACAUUGGUAAACAAGAAAGGAUUCCCGGGGGAUGCCAAAAUGAUGGACCCUGUCUUGGGUAUCUAUCACUCUGGAAAAAAACAGGGAGCAUCAAGUGUCCCUUCCUCUUCUGGAGCAUUUGACGGAGGGAGCCACGGUGGCCCUCUACCUUCUGUUGAUCUUCCUCAAAGGGAGGGAGGCCUGUGGUACGGACUGGGCCCUGACAAGUCUGGACUGGGUUUUGUGCUCCCCUCUGAUCCAGGGUCUAUGUCUGACGGGAACAGCUUUAGGGUUAUUCCAGACCCCUCAUCUCUAACAGACAAGGAUGACCAGAACUUGGGGGAAUCGACCAAAACAAGGAGUGGAAAUGGAAAGAAAAAGUAGACCCUUGACCAAAGACUGUUAAAUGUAAAGCUGUUUUAUUCUUUUUAGAGUAGACAGCAUAUAUGAUGAAUGGUCGUGUACACUUUUGAUUAUCUUCUCAAUAAAUAAUAAUACAUUA